UUCGACCUCAAAUCAGGUAGGACUACCCGCUGAACUUAAGCAUAUCAAUAAGCGGAGGAAAAGAAACCAACAGGGAUUGCCUUAGUAGCGGCGAGUGAAGCGGCAAAAGCUCAAAUUUGAAAUCUGGCACUUUCAGUGUCCGAGUUGUAAUUUGAAGAAGGUAUCUUUGGGUCUGGCUCUUGUCUAUGUUU
rnacentral:rRNA from 1 species